rnacentral:rRNA from 1 species
CCUACGGGUGGCAGCAGUGAGGAAUAUUGGUCAAUGGACGCAAGUCUGAACCAGCCAUGCCGCGUGCAGGAAGACGGCUCUAUGAGUGGUAAACUGCUUUUGUACGAGGGUAAACGCAGAUACGCGUAUCUGUCUGCACGGAUCGUACGAAUAAGGACCGGCUAACUCCGUGCCAGCAGCCGCGGUAAUACGGAGGUUUCAAGCGUUAUCCGGAUUUAUUGGGUUUAAAGGGUGCGUAGGCGGUCGGAUAAGUUAGAGGUGAAAUCCCGAGGCUCAACUUCGGAAUUGCCUCUGAUACGGUUCGGCUAGAGAGUAGGUGCGGUAGGCGGAAUGUAUGGUGUAGCGGUGAAAUGCUUAGAGAUCAUACAGAACACCGAUUGCGAAGGCAGCUUACCAAGCUACUUCUGACGUUGAGGCACGAAAGCGUGGGGAGCAAACAGGAUUAGAUACCCGUGUAGUC